rnacentral:rRNA from 1 species
GACGAACGCUGGCGGCGUGCUUAACACAUGCAAGUCGAACGGAAAGGCCCUGCUUGCAGGGUGCUCGAGUGGCGAACGGGUGAGUAACACGUGGGUGAUCUGCCCCUUACUUUGGGAUAAGCCUGGGAAACUGGGUCUAAUACUGGAUAGGACCAUGCUGUAGGUGGUGUGUUGGAAAGAUUAGUUUCGGUAAGGGAUGAGCUCGCGGCCUAUCAGCCUGUUGGUGGGGUAAUGGCCUACCAAGGCGUCGACGGGUAGCCGGCCUGAGAGGGUGGACGGCCACAUUGGGACUGAGAUACGGCCCAGACUCCUACGGGAGGCAGCAGUGGGGAAUAUUGCACAAUGGGCGCAAGCCUGAUGCAGCGACGCCGCGUGGGGGAUGACGGCCUUCGGGUUGUAAACUCCUUUCAGCCAUGACGAAGCCUUCGGGUGACGGUAGUGGUAGAAGAAGCACCGGCUAACUACGUG